UACGUAGGGUGCGAGCGUUGUCCGGAAUUAUUGGGCGUAAAGAGCUCGUAGGCGGUCUGUCGCGUCGAUCGUGAAAACUUGGGGCUUAACCCUGAGCUUGCGGUCGAUACGGGCAUGACUUGAGUUCGGCAGGGGAGACUGGAAUUCCUGGUGUAGCGGUGAAAUGCGCAGAUAUCAGGAGGAACACCGGUGGCGAAGGCGGGUCUCUGGGCCGAUACUGACGCUGAGGAGCGAAAGCGUGGGGAGCAAACAGG
rnacentral:rRNA from 1 species